rnacentral:rRNA from 1 species
AGAGUUUGAUCAUGGCUCAGGACGAACGCUGGCGGCGUGCCUAAUACAUGCAAGUCGAGCGGACAGAAGGGAGCUUGCUCCCGGAUGUUAGCGGCGGACGGGUGAGUAACACGUGGGUAACCUGCCUGUAAGACUGGGAUAACUCCGGGAAACCGGAGCUAAUACCGGAUAGUUCCUUGAACCGCAUGGUUCAAGGAUGAAAGACGGUUUCGGCUGUCACUUACAGAUGGACCCGCGGCGCAUUAGCUAGUUGGUGGGGUAAUGGCUCACCAAGGCGACGAUGCGUAGCCGACCUGAGAGGGUGAUCGGCCACACUGGGACUGAGACACGGCCCAGACUCCUACGGGAGGCAGCAGUAGGGAAUCUUCCGCAAUGGACGAAAGUCUGACGGAGCAACGCCGCGUGAGUGAUGAAGGUUUUCGGAUCGUAAAGCUCUGUUGUUAGGGAAGAACAAGUGCGAGAGUAACUACUCGCACCUUGACGGUACCUAACCAGAAAGCCACGGCUAACUACGUGCCAGCAGCCGCGGUAAUACGUAGGUGGCAAGCGUUGUCCGGAAUUAUUGGGCGUAAAGGGCUCGCAGGCGGUUUCUUAAGUCUGAUGUGAAAGCCCCCGGCUCAAACCGGGGAGGGUCAUUGGAAACUGGGAAACUUGAGUGC